UAAUUGAAGAGUUUGAUCAUGGCUCAGAUUGAACGCUGGCGGCAGGCCUAACACAUGCAAGUCGAGCGGUAACAGGAGAAAGCUUGCUUUCUUGCUGACGAGCGGCGGACGGGUGAGUAAUGUAUGGGGAUCUGCCCGAUAGAGGGGGAUAACUACUGGAAACGGUGGCUAAUACCGCAUAAUGUCUACGGACCAAAGCAGGGGCUCUUCGGACCUUGCACUAUCGGAUGAACCCAUAUGGGAUUAGCUAGUAGGUGGGGUAAAGGCUCACCUAGGCGACGAUCUCUAGCUGGUCUGAGAGGAUGAUCAGCCACACUGGGACUGAGACACGGCCCAGACUCCUACGGGAGGCAGCAGUGGGGAAUAUUGCACAAUGGGCGCAAGCCUGAUGCAGCCAUGCCGCGUGUAUGAAGAAGGCCUUAGGGUUGUAAAGUACUUUCAGCGGGGAGGAAGGUGAUAAGGUUAAUACCCUUAUCAAUUGACGUUACCCGCAGAAGAAGCACCGGCUAACUCCGUGCCAGCAGCCGCGGUAAUACGGAGGGUGCAAGCGU
rnacentral:rRNA from 1 species